rnacentral:lncRNA from 1 species
CUUGGCCUGGGGCUAUCCCAACUGAAUCUACCAAGGAUGUUAAAAAGUAAUGUACGCAUAAAUAAUAUUUUUAUUUUGAAAACACAGUCGUUCCUUGGCUUUAGUGAAGUUCAUCAUCACGAGGUGGUUCGGCGUGAGGUGAACUCUAACCAUACCUCAAGAGAUACCCUACGCGCCUCUCCGAUCGAGGUACAUAUAUAACCGGAUUUCGUACUCCUCUAAUAGGCUGGUCCACAGAACCCGCCCACUGCAGCAAGC